UUCUUUGUCUUUUCCUUUUUCUGUCUUUUCCAUGACUUCUUUCGAUAAAGAGUCCAAAGAUGAGACUCUGGUCGGCGAUCGGAGUUCUCGAGCUCUAACAACCCUGAGGGCGACCGAGGAGAUUACUCGAGAUGAGUCCAAUGGGGUGUCUUCUUGAUAGAGCCCAUCAAAUUCGAAUGAGUCGGAUGAACAAUCGACUAUUGAGAACAUCUUCGAACCUCUCACAGAGAGGUCUGAGCUGAC
rnacentral:lncRNA from 1 species